UACGAAGGGGACUAGCGUUGUUCGGAAUUACUGGGCGUAAAGCGCACGUAGGCGGAUCUUUAAGUCAGGGGUGAAAUCCUGGAGCUCAACUCCAGAACUGCCUUUGAUACUGGGGAUCUCGAGUCCGGGAGAGGUGAGUGGAACUGCGAGUGUAGAGGUGAAAUUCGUAGAUAUUCGCAAGAACACCAGUGGCGAAGGCGGCUUACUGGUCCGGUUCUGACGCUGAGGCGCGAAAGCGUGGGGAGCAAACAGG
rnacentral:rRNA from 1 species